UACGUAGGGGGCAAGCGUUGUUCGGAAUUACUGGGCGUAAAGGGCGUGUAGGCGGUGCGGUAUGUUGGACGUGAAAUCCCCGGGCUCAACUCGGGGCGGUCGUUCAAAACUGCCGUGCUAGAGUGUGGGAGAGGGAAGUGGAAUUCCCGGUGUAGCGGUGAAAUGCGUAGAUAUCGGGAAGAACACCGGUGGCGAAGGCGGCUUCCUGGCCCGCAACUGACGCUGAGGCGCGAAAGCUAGGGGAGCAAACAGG
rnacentral:rRNA from 1 species